rnacentral:lncRNA from 1 species
GUGGCCAUCACAAUUGUCAUCGUCGAAGAAGAUGCCAAUCAAUCCACGGGACUAACGUAGGGCCUUAAAGGAAGAUGAUCGAUCAGAAUUGAGUUGGAGAAGGGCGAUGUAAGGAUGUACCAUCUGGAUCUCGGUGGAGCCGUCGUCAAAGAAGGUGGACGCACUGAUUCGGUAGUUUUUGAAGGUCGUCAAAGCCCUGACAGAAUUCUUGAGGGAGAG